GAUGAAGAACGUAGCGAAAUGCGAUACGUAAUGUGAAUUGCAGAAUUCAGUGAAUCAUCGAGUCUUUGAACGCACAUUGCGCCCCCUGGUAUUCCGGGGGGCAUGCCUGUCCGAGCGUCAUUGCUGCCCUCAAGCCCGGCUUGUGUGUUGGGUCUCGUCCCCCUUCCCGGGGGGACGGGCCCGAAAGGCAGCGGCGGCACCGCGUCCGGUCCUCGAGCGUAUGGGGCUUUGUCACCCGCUCUGUAGGCCCGGCCGGCGCUUGCCGAUCAACCAAAACUUUUUUCCAGGUUGACCUCGGAUCAGGUAGUGAUACCCGCUGAACUUAAGCAUAUCAAUAAGCGGUGGA
rnacentral:misc_RNA from 1 species